rnacentral:tRNA from 1 species
GCCUGGGUGGCUCAGUCGGUUGAGCAUCCGACUUCAGCUCGGGCCAUGAUCUCCUGGUUUGUGGGUUUGAGCCCCGCGUCGGGCU